rnacentral:tRNA from 1 species
GGGCCUAUAGCUCAGGUGGUUAGAGCGCACGCCUGAUAAGCGUGAGGUCAGUGGUUCAAAUCCACUUAGGCCCACCA